GACGGAGGGUGCUAGCGUUGUUCGGAAUCACUGGGCGUAAAGGGCGCGUAGGCGGCCUCAGGUGUCGGAUGUGAAAGCCCGGGGCUCAACCCCGGAGGUGCGUCCAAAACUCUGGGGCUGGAGGUCGGAAGAGGAGGGUGGAAUACCCAGUGUAGAGGUGAAAUUCGUAGAUAUUGGGUGGAACACCGGUGGCGAAAGCGGCUCUCUGGUCCGGACCUGACGCUGAGGCGCGAAAGCGUGGGGAGCAAACAGG
rnacentral:rRNA from 1 species